rnacentral:lncRNA from 1 species
UAGUCAUUUUUCAUGUAUAUACUAAAAGUCUAUCAAUUUAACAUAAAAAACAUAGAAAAAUCAUUAAUGAUAAUUUUCUAAAACCUUAACAGUUUUAUAAAUUGAUACACAAGUUAGUUAAAUUAUGAUUCCCCGAUCUCAAAAACAUAUAAUUUAUAAGAAAAGUAAAAAAUUACACUCACCAAUUUAUGGAUUAAAGCUUGAAAAUCCUAAGCAAAUUUCCUUUGUUUCUUUUCGUUCUUUUUUUUUUCU